UAUUAAUGCAGAAAGGAAAUAUUCCAGAGAUAGAGGAGAAACUGCCUCCUGACCAUCCUGUUUUGCCAUGUUGCUGAGGACUUGUGCAGUCAUAAACCAUCUGCAAGGUUGCCUGAGAUCAACCCCUUGUGAACGCCAGACAGAAUGAUGUUCCAAGUGGCAGAGCAUGAAGUUAGGAGCAAUGUGUGAAUCCACUAAAAGAAAAACAGCUUUUAGG